CACAAGUCACAAGGGAAGGGAAGUAUGUGCAAUCUGAUGUCCCAAGGUAGCUUUUAUAUGGGGCAAUGGUUUAUGUUCGUCAAACAAUUGUCUCUGAUGCUUCUAAGGCUUUAUCUCGAGCUGUGUGCAUUGCUGUGAGAUAUAGUUGUGUUUGUAGGCAAUUUGGAUCACAAGAUGGUUCUUCUAAGACUCAGGCUUACAUGGCGAGGCAUGCCAAGAUGAUCCCAAGCACCAUUGCCCAGACAUGGUGUCUCUUAGAACAAGGGAGUUCUUUCUUUUGCUUCCUUUUGACUUACUGUCCUUUAGAACAUGGUGUCUAUUAGCAUUGGAAUACUUCUGUUAACUGCUGCUAUAAUUUACUGUCCUUUUGACUUUAUUCCAGUGGUUUCUUGACAAAACAUCAAUUUUUAGAAGAGCUGCUGAGGAUGGCUUUCUCAAUAUAUGGGAUUAUGAAGUUUACAAAUCUCAAGUACUCCAGAGUUGAAAUUGAUGAAGUGCGGUUCGAGUGGGCUG